rnacentral:rRNA from 1 species
GAUGAACGCUGGCGGCGUGCCUAAUACAUGCAAGUCGAGCGAACAGACGAGGAUCUUGCUCCUCUGACGUUAGCGGCGGACGGGUGAGUAACACGUGGAUAACCUACCUAUAAGACUGGGAUAACUUCGGGAAACCGGAGCUAAUACCGGAUAAUAUAUUGAACCGCAUGGUUCAAUAGUGAAAGACGGUUUUGCUGUCACUUAUAGAUGGAUCCGCGCCGCAUUAGCUAGUUGGUAAGGUAACGGUUUACCAAGGCAACGAUGCGUAGCCGACCUGAGAGGGUGAUCGUCCACACUGGAACUGAGACACGGUCCAGACUCCUACGGGAGGCAGCAGUAGGGAAUCUUCCGCAAUGGGCGAAAGCCUGACGGAGCAACGCCGCGUGAGUGAUGAAGGUCUUCGGAUCGUAAAACUCUGUUAUUAGGGAAGAACAAAUGUGUAAGUAACUAUGCACGUCUUGACGGUACCUAAUCAGAAAGCCACGGCUAACUACGUG